CAUUUUUUGUCGUUUGGGCAGCCGCAAUGUUGGCAAAAUCCUUGUGUAAGUGCGCGGUCGAAUGGCCUUGUUGCUAUCACUUGGAUUUUUGCCGCCUCUCACAGAUGCAGUGCCUAGUGCUAGCUCUGCGUGACUUUACUCCGCAGACUUUGGGAGGUCCCUUGUACGAAUCAUUGCGACGUGGGCGCCGUUUGUCGUGUUGCUUGUUUGGCACGCAAAUCGUAUUGUUCUGUCUGGAGUCGGGAUGACGAAGGGCAAGAAUGAAGUGUCCGGGGCGUGGUUGCGUACAUGGGGAAUGCCUCUCGGAUUGUAUGAGCAGCGAUUUCCGGCUUGCGUCCUGCGAAG
rnacentral:misc_RNA from 1 species